AUUGAACGCUGGCGGCAUGCCUAACACAUGCAAGUCGAACGAGGUUGGCUUCGGCCAGCCUAGUGGCGGACGGGUGAGUAAUGCGUGGGAAUCUGCCUCGUAGUGGGGGAUAACGUAGGGAAACUUACGCUAAUACCGCAUACGCUCUACGGAGGAGGGGGGGGGAUCUUUGGACCUCUCGCUAUGAGAUGACCCCACGUCUGAUUAGCUAGUUGGUGGGGUAAAGGCCUACCAAGGCGACGAUCAGUAGCCGGCCUGAGAGGGUGUACGGCCACACUGGGACUGAGACACGGCCCACACUCCUACGGGAGGCAGCAGUGGGGAAUAUUGGACAAUGGGCGAAAGCCUGAUCCAGCAAUGCCGCGUGUGUGAAGAAGGCCUGCGGGUUGUAAAGCACUUUAGGUGGGGAAGAAUGGGAUUGCGCUAAUACCGUGAUCCUUUGACGUUACCCACAGAAUAAGCACCGGCUAACUCCGUGCCAGCAGCCGCGGUAAUACGGAGGGUGCGAGCGUUAAUCGGAAUUACUGGGCGUAAAGCGCAUGUAGGCGGUUUGAUAAGUCGGAUGUGAA
rnacentral:rRNA from 1 species